CACGGCGUUCCAGCGCGAAGGCCGGGAGCUGGGGCACUUGCUGCCCUACGCCCAGAAGUGGAACGCCGCGGACGUGUCUGCGGCGACCCGCGGCCUGGGCAAGGCCGGCUGCCUGCGCCUGACCCUGCUGGUAACCGGUGCGCAGAGGAGCACUUUAUGCGGCUGCGGCGGGCCGUCAAAGAGCUGGACAGCGCGUGGUUCGAUGCCACGAACAACAUGAUGACCACGGCUGACGCUCGGAAGAUCCUCUUUGAGGAGCUUCUUUGGGAGCACCGGGACCUCGCUGAGGCACACAGCAAGUGCCAAGCUAUCCCGGAAGCUUCUAUUGAGGCCCUCAGGAAGCAGCUUGCCGCCGCCCAAG